UACGGGGGGUGCGAGCGUUGUCCGGAUUCACUGGGCGUAAAGGGCGCGUAGGCGGCCCCGUCAGUCGGUCUUUUAAGAGCGGGGCUCACCCCCGUGGGGGGACCGGGACGGCGGGGCUGGGGCGCGGCAGGGGGAUGCGGAAUGCCGGGUGUAGUGGUGAAAUGCGUAGAGAUGUGGAGGAACACCGAUGGCGAAGGCAGCCCCCUGGGCUAACACUGACGCUCAUGCACGAAAGCGUGGGGAGCAAACAGG
rnacentral:rRNA from 1 species